GAUGAACGCUGGCGGCGUGCCUAAUACAUGCCAGUCGAGCGAACAGACGAGGAGCUUGCUCCUUUGACGUUAGCGGCGGACGGGUGAGUAACACGUGGGUAACCUACCUAUAAGACUGGGAUAACUUCGGGAAACCGGAGCUAAUACCGGAUAAUAUUUCGAACCGCAUGGUUCGAUAGUGAAAGAUGGCUUUGCUAUCACUUAUAGAUGGACCUGCGCCGUAUUAGCUAGUUGGUAAGGUAACGGCUUACCAAGGCAACGAUACGUAGCCGACCUGAGAGGGUGAUCGGCCACACUGGAACUGAGACACGGUCCAGACUCCUACGGGAGGCAGCAGUAGGGAAUCUUCCGCAAUGGGCGAAAGCCUGACGGAGCAACGCCGCGUGAGUGAUGAAGGUCUUCGGAUCGUAAAACUCUGUUAUUAGGGAAGAACAAACGUGUAAGUAACUGUGCACGUCUUGACGGUACCUAAUCAGAAAGCCACGGCUAACUACAUG
rnacentral:rRNA from 1 species